rnacentral:rRNA from 1 species
GACGAACGCUGGCGGCGUGCCUAAUACAUGCAAGUCGAACGCAGUGGGGACGGGUGAGUAACACGUGGGUAACCUCCCAUCAGAGGGGAUAACACUUGGCAACAGGUGCUAAACCGAUACUGAUGGAUGGACCAGCGGUGCAUUAGCUAGUUGGUGAGGUAACGGCGCACCAAGUCCACGAUGCAUAGCCGACCUGAGAGGGUGAUCUGCCACACUGGGACUGAGAAACGGCCCAGACUCCUACGGGAGGCAGCAGUAGGGAAUCUUCGGCAAUGGACGAAAGGCUAACCGAGCAACGCCGCGUGAGUGAAGAAGGUUUUCGGAUCGUAAAACGCUGUUUUUAGAGAAGCGGUAUCUAACCAGAAAGCCACGGCUAACUACGUGCCAGCAGCCGCGGUAAUAC